rnacentral:lncRNA from 1 species
CUGAGUCUACUAUGAGAAGAAAAAUAGAUUAAUUAUCAAGCCAACCUAUCACAAAUCUCAAGAACAACCCACCCACUGUCCACCAACCACCUAGAUCUAAUCAUCAAUUCAAUGUCCCCCUAAAAAUCCUCAAUUUGAGAAUGCCAAUACAAUUACCAAACUUAAAAGUAGUAGGAUUCUUAAAGAUCCAUAUCAAGAUCAGGU